rnacentral:lncRNA from 1 species
AUGGAUGAAGCGCCCCAAAGACCCCCCAGCACCUUAACCUACCUCUUUCCUCCAAAGAAAAAUGCAGAUGGUACAUCCACGCCCAUCGACAUCAUGGAUUUUCCUGCCAAUUGUGAUGUAAAAUAUGUUGAGAAUUUGCUUUCAAGGGGCCACUUUGUAUUAAAAGGGAGAAGGGGCCUGGACAGUAUUAAGGCAAUGAAGAGGGUUAGAUUCCAGAAGAAUGGACACGGAAUUGUAAACAGGAGGCGGGAGGCUCGCUGAAGAUCAGAUCAGGAGACAGGAGUCUGGGAGGGUGAUUCCACAGCCUGGAGAAGAACCCUGGAUUAAGUGCUGCGCCUGCAGAGAGAGGCGUCAAUGGCUGGACCCCUCCCAGCCCUGGUAUGUCAGGUCUCUGCCUGGGACCUGGCCUUGCUCCUUGGUUCCCACUGUCCUGUGCUCACUCACGGUGUUCUGUGCCUGGUGCCUGUUUGCUGCAGGACAAGCCGCUCCACCUGGGGCUGUUUCUUUAAUCAUAGAAGCCAAACAGUUGUGAAAAUGAUUCCAACUACAACUUGUGGGCAGCUCUUACUAGACAGCUGCUGCUCAGUGCCCAUUGUUAAAGGAAAAUAAACCAAUAAAGAGCCCAUGGCA